AGAAAUCAAGAUUAACAGAUUGCAGAGGCUCUGAAAAUGAGCUGCUCCCCAGGACCAGUGAUGGUACUGCUCUUAUUGUUUGGAGGAAGCAAUGGAGAAUCAGUGACCCAGACACAAGGCCAAGUGGCCGUGUUAGAAGGGGCUUCCCUGACUGUGAACUGUUCCUAUGAAACCAAAGGGUACCCCACCCUAUUCUGGUAUGUCCAAUACCCUGGAGAAGGUCUGCAGCUCCUUAUUAAAGUCUCUAAGGCCAAUGAGAUGGGAAGCCAUAAAGGAUUUGAAGCCAUGUAUGAUGAAGAAAACACCUCCUUCCACUUGAAGAAAGCCACAGUCCUAGUGUCAGACUCAGCUGUGUACUACUGUGCUUUGAGAGACACAGUGGCAGAAACCACAGGGGGAGCUGAGCACAAACUGAGCUGCAGCAGGAGCCUGGCUUCUAAGUUUUUGUUCUGCAAUAGUACUGGUUGGUAG